UCCGGAAUGCACAGGCGAUCUCAUUUGGAAUGACUAUUCUUGUUCCAGAAGCCUGGGAGCCAGAUGAGCUGGAGGCUGACUGAAAGAUGAGGUGGACUGCACCCUCCAUUUCUGAUGCCGAAACAGUCUUUCUCAGCUUCAGCGCCCAAGAUUACUUGAUCCAGGUGAAGCCAGAUGCCGUGAAGUGAGGACACUCAGGCAGUCGGUAGAGAGGCCCACAUGGGUUGGAACUUAGGCCUGCCAGCAGCCACAUGAAUGAACCUUGAAAUGGGUCCUCUGCCCCCAGAAGAUAGCACCUCUGGCCAAAUUUCCAUCCACGUGAGAGAUCCUGAGCCGGAACCACCCAGCCAAGCUUCUCCCCCCAGUCCUGACUCACAGAAGCGGAGAUAAUAAAUGCUUGUUGGUUUAA